rnacentral:rRNA from 1 species
GACGAACGCUGGCGGUGUGCUUAACACAUGCAAGUGGUGCGACGAACCAGAGCUUGCUCUGGGGCAAAGCCGCGAACGGGUGAGUAACACGUGGGUAAUCUACCCCGAUGACCGGGACAACCCGAGGAAACUCGGGCUAAUACCGGAUGUGGUACGGAGACAUAAGUCUCUUUACUAAAGGUAGCUUCGGCUUCCGCAUUGGGAGGGGCCCGCGGCCCAUUAGCUAGUUGGUGGGGUCAAGGCCUACCAAGGCAACGAUGGGUAGCUGGUCUGAGAGGACGAUCAGCCACACUGGGACUGAGACACGGCCCAGACUCCUACGGGAGGCAGCAGUGGGGAAUCUUGCGCAAUGCGCGAAAGCGUGACGCAGCAACACCGCGUGAGGGAAGACGGCCUUAGGGUUGCAAACCUCUUUCAGAUGGGACGAAGGUGAUGCGGUGAAUAGCCGAUGUCAUUGACGGUACCGUCAGAAGAAGCUCCGGCUAACUACGUGCCAGCAGCCGCGGUAAU